AUUCAGACACCUCCAUGGGCAGCAUGUUCCCAUGCCACAUCACUCUUUCUGAGAGUAUUUUUUACCUAAUAUCCAACUUGAACGUCCCCUGGUGAUUCUUAGGGCCAUUACAUCUCAUCCUACCACUAGAUACCUUUGAGAAGAGGCCCACCUCGCUACAGCCUCCUUUCAGGCAGUUGUAGGGAGCAAUAAGACCUCCCCUAAGACAUCUUUUCAGAAUAAACAAUCCUAUCCCUCAGCUGCUCCUCAAAAAACUUGUGCUCCAGAACCUUCACAGCCUUAUUGCCCUUCUCUGAACAUGCUCCUGUGUGUUGAUGUCUAUCUUGUAGCCCAAAACUGAACACAGCACUCAAAAUGUGGCCUCACCAGAGCUGAGUUACAGGGGUGGAUGAUCAUCACCUGGUUCCUUCUGGCAACAUUAUUUCAGAUACAAACAAGGAUGCCAUUGGGUUUCUUGGCCACUUGGGCACACUGCUGACUUGUGUUUAACUGUCAGUAGCCUACAAACUUUAGAUAAGCACCCAGUCAAGUGCACAGAUUCCUGUUUUUCCUUUGAACGCUUCCAGUGUAACAAAAUUGUGUUGUGGUCUCCAAAUGAUCACAAGUUUGUAUUAAAGGUGGUAACAUUAUACUUCUGGAAAUGCAUUUUAUUGCUAUUAGUCAGCUAAGAACAACAGCCAUUUCUAUUCUUUUUCUAAAAAGCUCACCUGCAGCAGUUACACCUUCCCAUUGUGUCCAGUGCAGGAACUCAAUGAAUUCCACCAGAGCACUCAGAAUGAAAAUCAAAAAUACAUUCCUGGCUGCUAGAGACUGCGGAUUCACCUUCAGAUGUGUUUAUAGUAGAUCAAGGUAGUAGACUGGUAAUCAUGCUGCUUUACUGAGAAGGAUGGAAAAUCAUAUGUACCCAUGCCUUCCAGUGCCAUCUGCAUAUCUGACGUUCCCUUCCACUGCCUUUGCUGAAAAGGAUCCUUGUCAAUGUGAGUGCUCAGCUGAAGUGGACUGCCCAGCCUUGCAGAAUUGUUCUAGCUGGGAACAUUGUGGAAGCAACAUGUAAAAAAUACAAAACUCCUUUUGUGUGCCAUGUUUCUUUGGAUAUAGAGCUGGUCUCAUCCCACGACCUCCUUUGCCAUUCUCUUGGCUUUGUCCAUAGUCAGAUAAAACUAAUGAUAUCCUGGAGGUGCCUAUUUCUCUCCUUCACUGGAAAAUGAGAGUAACUUAAGAAUCAGAUGUAUAACUGAUCUAUGUGUUAGCUGAGAUAAAC
rnacentral:lncRNA from 1 species